CAGGAAUUUGUGCCACACAUUUCAACAAUUUCCUUAAUGGAUUGAAUGUACUUUAUGUGAAUUCAUCAGCCAUACUUAAAAAGAAAAAGGAGAAUGAAACUGGAAAGAAAAUAUUUGCAGUUGCAAAAGAAUGCUGUAAAUAAAUUCAAAAGAAGAAACAGUUUUAAACAUGGUUAAUUUAAUAAAUAAUUGGAAGGUUGAAGCUAGUUUUGUUGCAGAAUGGCAAAUGUUUGGUACUGGUUGAAACUAUGAAAGUGAUACAGGUCCCAUGGUAAUCAUUUAACAGCAGGUUUUUAACAGCAGUUAUGCAGAAAAAUGAAGGAUGGCUGUCAAUGGUAAAUGCAGCAUCAGAAUAUUCCCCAGGAAAGUUUACCCAGAGAGUUUGGGAAAGUAUGAAUAAGAAAAUAGAGAGGGAAACACUUACAGAUAACCAGAAAACAAAGAUUUUAAAAGAAAAGAAUUGCAACUAAUAGUAAUAUGAUAUAUCGGACUGGGAGCAAUAUGUACUAUUCAAUAUAGAAGGAUUGACAAUUUUGACUGAGAACAAAGUGAACUUUAAUAAUGCUAUGACUAUCAAUCAAUACUUGACUGAAUCAGAGGAGUAAACUAUUUACAUAUUUGUAAAUGUAACAAUUAU